rnacentral:tRNA from 1 species
CAUUAGAUGACUGAAAGUAAGUACUGGUCUCUUAAACCAUCCUAUAGUAGAGUAACAACUACUUCUAAUGA